CUUCUUAUGCUUCCUCCUCAUUUCAUCCAAUGAGAUGCAAGGUGCUGAGGGCAAAACUUGUCGAUGGAGGAGCAAGGAAUAUCGUACCCGUUAUUGCUUAUUGAGUGAUACUUGUUUCAUAAAGUGCAAACAAGAGUAUUCCAAGGCAAUUAAGGGUGAAUGCAUUAGAAAAAGCACUUUUUCUCGUUAUUGUUAUUGUUGGCGCAAGUGUUAAGAAGCAUCAAAUCUUCUCACAUUAUGUACUAUAGAAAUUAUGAUAAAUAAAAAAUUAAUGGUGUGGUUAUCUUGUGUCAUGUGUGAAAGAAUAAAAACACUAUCAAUUCAUUAGAAUUGUAGUAGUGAUAGUAAGGAAAUAGUUCUAUAUUUUCUUCUUGGGGUAUGUACUAUAGUUUUUUUUUUUUUUAUGUCAUGUGAAGUAAUCUAAAUAAUUUAAAUAAAUUGUUCGUUGGUUAUUUUCAUUGA